rnacentral:rRNA from 1 species
UACGUAGGGGGCAAGCGUUGUCCGGAAUCAUUGGGCGUAAAGCGCGUGUAGGCGGCUCGGUAAGUCCGCUCUGAAAGUCCGGGGCUCAACCCCGGGAGGCGGGUGGAUACUGUCGAGCUCGAGUCCGGAAGAGGCGAGCGGAAUUCCUGGUGUAGCGGUGAAAUGCGCAGAUAUCAGGAGGAACACCGAUGGCGAAGGCAGCUCGCUGGGACGUGACUGACGCUGAGACGCGAAGCGUGGGGAGCAAACAG